rnacentral:rRNA from 1 species
AACGAACGCUGGCGGCAGGCCUAACACAUGCAAGUCGAACGCCCCGCAAGGGGAGUGGCAGACGGGUGAGUAACACGUGGGAACCUUCCCAACAGUACGGAAUAGCCCAGGGAAACUUGGAGUAAUACCGUAUAUUCCCGAGAGGGGAAAGAUUUAUCGCUGUUGGAUGGGCCCGCGUCGGAUUAGCUAGUUGGUGAGGUAACGGCUCACCAAGGCGACGAUCCGUAACUGGUUUGAGAGAAUGACCAGCCACACUGGGACUGAGACACGGCCCAGACUCCUACGGGAGGCAGCAGUGGGGAAUCUUGGACAAUGGGCGCAAGCCUGAUCCAGCCAUGCCGCGUGAGUGACGAAGGCCUUAGGGUUGUAAAGCUCUUUUGCCGGGGACGAUAAUGACGGUACCCGGAGAAUAAGUCCCGGCUAACUUCGUGCCAGCCGCCGCCGUAACAC